CAUAUAUAAGACAAUUUUGCAUCACAUUUUUUUCUGAAAUAACUUUUAAACAUCAUUUGCUUCCAUCUUCUGAUAUCUUAUUUGUAUACUCAAGAUUUAGAAAUUCUGUCAUGUAAUGUAGGCUGUAUACAGUGCUUAUAAUUGUGUUAUUCAACAAAUGACUAAGUAUCCUUCAGGACAGAAACUUAUACAGUGGUAAAGAUGUAGAAGAUGGAUGACCAAAACUGAGAGAGAAUUCUAGGACAGAAAAUAUGUAGAUGUUGGAUAACCAUCCUGGAACAGAACCGUAGGACAAGAAAGAUGUAGAUGAUGGGUGACCAAGCUGGGACAGAAUGCCAAGACAGGAAAGAUGUAGAAAUGAGUGGACCAGGAAGCAAAGAAUCAUUACACCAAGGUGUGCUCGGUUGUCUUGGACACUCCUAAUGUCCCCUGUGACAGGUCAGCCAGCAGCGACAAAGUCAUUAGUAUCGGGGUGGACACCCACCUUCCAGGCAACGAGAACAGCAGCUCAUCAUCGACGAUGUUUUCUUUUUCUAUUGUGGUGGGCAUCCGCAUACUAUAAGCGCAGCCAAUACACUAGCAGCACCACGUGCCGACGCCACGGGCACAGAGAAGACAUCACCUAUUGGCUGGAGACGCUGUGGCUCUGCUGU